UUGGAGGGCAAGUCUGGUGCCAGCAGCCGCGGUAAUUCCAGCUCCAAUAGCGUAUAUUAAAGUUGUUGCAGUUAAAAAGCUCGUAGUUGAAUUUCGAGACCGGUUUACUGGUCGUGCUUUUGUACGUACUGGUAUUAUUGGUUUCUCCUUUCUGACGAAUCUUGAUGCCAUUAAUUUGGUGUUUUGGGGAAUCAGGACUGUUACUUUGAAAAAAUUAGAGUGUUUAAAGCAGGCUCACGCUUGAAUACAUUAGCAUGGAAUAACGGAAUAGGACGUUUGAUUUUAUUUUGUUGGUUUCUAGGAUCGACGUAAUGAUUAAUAGGGAUAGUUGGGGGCAUUAGUAUUCAAUUGUCAGAGGUGAAAUUCUUGGAUUUAUUGAAGACUAACUACUGCGAAAGCAUUUGCCAAGGAUGUUUUCAUUAAUCAAGAACGAAAGUUAGGGGAUCGAAGACGAUCAGAUACCGUCGUAGUCUUAACCAUAAACUAUGCCGACUAGGGAUCGGAUGAUGUUAAUUUUUUAAUGACUCAUUCGGCGCCUUACGGGAAAC
rnacentral:rRNA from 1 species